AGUGAACGCUGGCGGUAGGCCUAACACAUGCGAGUCGAACGGCAGCACAGUAAGAGCUUGCUCUUAUGGGUGGCGAGUGGCGGACGGGUGAGGAAUACAUCGGAAUCUACUUUUUCGUGGGGGAUAACGUAGGGAAACUUACGCUAAUACCGCAUACGACCUACGGGUGAAAGCAGGGGAUCUUCGGACCUUGCGCGAUUGAAUGAGCCGAUGUCGGAUUAGCUAGUUGGCGGGGUAAAGGCCCACCAAGGCGACGAUCCGUAGCUGGUCUGAGAGGAUGAUCAGCCACACUGGAACUGAGACACGGUCCAGACUCCUACGGGAGGCAGCAGUGGGGAAUAUUGGACAAUGGGCGCAAGCCUGAUCCAGCCAUACCGCGUGGGUGAAGAAGGCCUUCGGGUUGUAAAGCCCUUUUGUUGGGAAAGAAAAGCAGCAGGUUAAUACCCCGCUGUUCUGACGGUACCCAAAGAAUAAGCACCGGCUAACUUCGUG
rnacentral:rRNA from 1 species